rnacentral:rRNA from 1 species
AGGACGAACGCUGGCGGCGUGCUUCAUACAUGCAAGUCGAACGAUAAGGCACCUUCGGGUGUACAUAAGUGGCGGACGGGUGAGUAAUAUGUAGAGAAUCUGCCCUAGAGAGCGGGACAACAGUUGGAAACGACUGCUAAUACCGCAUAUGAGCGUAGCUGAAAUGCUAUUCUUGAAAACUCCGGUGCUCUGGGAUGAGUCUGCAUCUGAUUAGCUAGUUGGGGGUGUAAUGGACCACCAAGGCGACGAUCAGUAGCUGGUUUGAGAGGAUGAUCAGCCACAAUGGGACUGAGACACGGCCCAUACUCCUACGGGAGGCAGCAGUAGGGAAUUUUGCGCAAUGGGGGAAACCCUGAACCGCAGCAACGCCGCGUGACCGAUGAAGCCCUUCGGGGUGUAAAGGUCUGUCAGUGGGGACGAAUAUUGACGGUACCCACAGAGGAAGCAUCGGCUAACUCCGUGCCAGCCGCCGC